rnacentral:lncRNA from 1 species
UGACCUUGGAGGAAAGUCACCGUUGUGGCUAGUCUUAGAGAUCACCACAUUUUUGGCGGGAAUUACGACGUUGAAUUUCAAUUCGAUUGAUUGCUCUUUGCGUGGUCCUAUUGUAAUUGGAGAAUAAUUCCAGCGUGGUCCUUCAUGGGAGUAUAUACGCAACAUGCAUGACAAAAUUUACAUAUUCUCUUUAGAAUGCAGGCACUGAUUAUUUUAUCUAAUUUAUACAGAUUAUGCUUCAGAAAUUAAUGCUACAAUAAAUAUCUUUAUUUUAAGUUCAUAAAUCGUUACACGUGAUAUUCUAUUUAUAGUACUCCAUGUACUAUUUGAAAUGUCAAGUCAGGAGGUAACAUCAAAAAAAAAAUUAAAGUCUGAUGCAUUCCAUUUUCAAUAUUGUAUUUCCGUAUUCAUGCUGACUAACAUUAUCGUUUCUUCAAGAUAACAUUGUGAGGUCGUGCUUUAAAGAAAGUACACUAUACAUAACGAAUUACGUAUAUGAAUGAAUGAGAAAUUCAUGUGUUUUCAAUGAAAAAGAAAGUGUACUGUAAAGAAAUUAAACCUAAAACCUAUUCUAAAAUGCAAUUUGAUGCUUUUCUUUACAGAGUUUUUAUUUAUUUAUUUAUAUAUACUUACUAGGAUCGAGAUCUGCAGCGACGAGCUCGACAAGUAGGGUUUUACCGAGCAAGUCGGUUACCCCGUCGAGCCCUAGGCUCUGGGUGAGGUGGGUGAGGGGGCCGCCCACGGUCUCAAGCGCGGUGAUGACCACCUUAACGGAGGUCGACUUCUUGGUGGAGGUCAACAAGGCUUUCACGCCGUUGGAGGCGCGACGUCGUAACCGUACACUCCUUUGUUUAGAUCGGCUAGGAAUUGGAAAUGAAGAUGCAACAUUUCUUGCGCCAGAGAGGAAAUGGUUGUAUAAAGGAAGUAGGUUUUGAUUUGUUACACGUGGAGAAUUGUGGAGGUUAUGGAUUAGCAUCAUUUUUUCAGAAAUUUCAGGAUAGAUUGUAAGUUGAAUACAAGAAGUAAAAUGGUGGUGUUUGUGCUUGUGGGUGAUUGGAGCAGGACUUCUUGAGUUCUUUAUAUAGAAGAUGAAUGUAGAAAAAUAUCGUACCCUAAAGACGAAGAAAG